ACUUGGCUGCAAUGUCACAUGGUACAAAUCUUCAGACAAAUCUGGAGUCGAUCAUCUGGCCUGGAUUGAAAGUUUGCGACAUCGUAGCUUUGUGACAAUUAACUUUUAAAAAGCCUAACCUUUCAUGCUUUGUCAAGCGGGAAGUUAGUCAACCAAUUAGAUUGAUUCCCAAUAACCUUUUAGAAAGUUUCCACCAAUCAACAAAAUGUUACUUCGACUGUAGAAGGCGCCAAACACUCAUUUCUUACACGCUGCAAGAAUGUGAUAUAGUACAAUGCAAUACAUUUGCUUUCGGGUCCAACAGCCUUGCUUCCUACCUGCUGAAAUGUGAUCGGCUGCCACAGAGGCUUUGCUUCCCCGGGGACGCACACGGUAAACAAGGAACACCACAUCAUCUCUGAAGCAAGCUAGUCUAUGUGAUGUUGGCAUGGUGAUGAUGAAGGCAAAUAUGUCAUCUAUAAAGGUGUUGAAUGCCUGCAAUGGAAGAUAGAUUGUGAUAGUAAAAGAUAAAUAAUAUUUUCGUCAGAACUUUGGAAAAUAACACUGUACAUCAUAUUACUAUGUAUAUGUAAUGUGGAGAGAAUGGAUAUAAUAAUACAAUGAAGUCAAUGUUUGCAAUAUUCCAUAUUCAGAUGUGUGUUUGUUUGCACUGAGAGGAAUGGUUGAAAAUGUAACAGUGAUGCGAUUUUUGCUUUAGGCACAAAUGGUAAUAAAACAAAUUACCUGCCUGGUCUUAUUGAAA